AGCGAACGCUGGCGGCAGGCCUAACACAUGCAAGUCGAACGAAGUCUUCGGACUUAGUGGCGGACGGGUGAGUAACACGUGGGAACGUGCCUUUAGGUUCGGAAUAACUCAGGGAAACUUGUGCUAAUACCGAAUGUGCCCUUCGGGGGAAAGAUUUAUCGCCUUUAGAGCGGCCCGCGUCUGAUUAGCUAGUUGGUGAGGUAAAGGCUCACCAAGGCGACGAUCAGUAGCUGGUCUGAGAGGAUGAUCAGCCACAUUGGGACUGAGACACGGCCCAAACUCCUACGGGAGGCAGCAGUGGGGAAUCUUGCGCAAUGGGCGAAAGCCUGACGCGGCCAUGCCGCGUGAAUGAUGAAGGUCUUAGGAUUGUAAAAUUCUUUCACCGGGGACGAUAAUGACGGUACCUGGAGAAGAAGCCCCGGCUAACUUCGUGCCAGCAGCCGCGGUAA
rnacentral:rRNA from 1 species